rnacentral:rRNA from 1 species
UACGGGGGGGGCAAGCGUUGUUCGGAAUUACUGGGCGUAAAGGGCUCGUAGGCGGCCAACUAAGUCGGACGUGAAAUCCCCAGGCUCAGCCUGGGAACUGCGUCCGAUACUGGAUGGCUUGAAUCCGGGAGAGGGAUGCAGAAUUCCAGGUGUAGCGGUGAAAUGCGUAGAUAUCUGGAGGAAUACCGGUGGCGAAGGCGGCAUCCUGGACCGGCAUUGACGCUGAGGAGCGAAAGCCAGGGGAGCAAACGGG